UAUUAUUAUUUCUUGUUCCUACCUUUAUUUCCAUGUACAACAAUCCUGCAUGCUUCCAAACAAAAACUUUGCUAGGUCUUACUUUCAGGAGAGGCCUUAUAUUUAGCAACUAGCUGUGCCCGGCCACGCGUUGCUGUGGCAAAGUAUGGUGGUAUGGGAAAUAAAGUAUUGAAGAAUUGGUGGUAGUUAAGGUAAAGGGUAAAGGUUUUCUCCUGACAUUAAGUCCAGUUGUGUCCGACUGCACACUGAAGUGGAUUAUAUGGCAGUGUGGAGUCAAGAUAAUCCAGUUCAAAGCAGAUAAUAUGAGAUUAUAAAUGGAUUAUAUAGCUGUGUGGAAGGGCCCUUGAGUCUACACUGCCAUAUAAUCCAGUUCAAAUCAGAUAAUCUGUAUUUUAUAGGCAGUGUGGAAGAGGCCUAAGUGAGGCCUAACUCUUCCUGUCCCCUGGGCUGCGUGGGUUGCUAGGAGACCAAGUGGGCGGAGCUUAGCCUUCUAACUGGCAGCAAUUGGAUAAAAACAAUUAUUCCUCUCCCUCUAAUUAGGACUUUAUUUUUCUUUUGUUUUUUGUUGUAUGAACAUAGAGGCAUGGAUGAGGGGUUGUGCUGCCAAGUUUAGUGUUUCUGGGAUGUGUAGUUUUGUUGUUUUGUCCUAGGCCGAAAUUUCAUUACCUUUUUAUAUAGAUAGAUUCAGCAAAACCUCUACUAGGUCUUAUUUUUCUGGGGAUGUGUUAUUUUCAGGGAAACAGGGUAAAUAAAUAAAUAAAUAAAUAAAUUUCCUACUUUUUCUUGUGUGCAAGGCAAAGGCCGAGUUUGUGCAAAAUAAAUAAAUAAAUAAAAUUCCAGCAAUGUUUUUCUUUUAUCAUUUGGAGGCAUGGCCUGAUGCUCCGGCACAUGCCACGGAAGUUCUCCGAUUGCCACCUGGUGGUGCCCAGCCUGCUCAACAGUGAGUAAGGAGUAGAAGCCAUGCCCUAGGAGAUGUUCCACAGGGAGAAAAAGACACACACACACACACACACACACACAGCAUGCAUUGCAUCUUUUGGCAGCCGUGCUUGGCAACCGACCUUGGGCUGUCCUUGCAGGGAACACCAAGGCUGGCUGGGCCUGGAGCCCCCUCGACAAGGAAAGCAAUUCAGCAGGAAAAGAAAAAUAGGAGCGGAGUCACUCGGCACCCAUCAUGGGAAGCAAAGCUAACGGGAACAGGCAGGAGCAUUCAACAUCUAUCUCUGACUGUUUUAGAUAAACAGUUUUACCAUCCUUGUGGAAGGCUUCUCUCAUGUCCCCACAUGGAGCUGGAGCUAACAGAGGGAGCUCAUCCGCACUCUCCCCGGGUUGGAUUCGAACCUGGCAGCCUUCAGGUCAGCAACCCAACCUUCAAGUCGCAAGGCUUUAACCCACUACACCACCGGUGGCAUCUCCUGGGCAACGUCCUUGCAGACAGCCCAUUCUCUCACACCAGAAGCGACUUGCAGUUUCUCAAGUCGCUCCUGACAUGAAAAAAAAGAUAAACAGUAGAUUUUGUUUCUCUAAGGAUUCCUCUUUCUUUACCAACAGCAUUUGUUGCCUUUUCUAUAACGAAGAAUAUCUGUGGAACACCUUUUGAAUAUCUGCAUUAUCAGCAAUUAUCUCUUUCCCCUCUUGUAUCUUUAUUUCUCUCUCUCUCUCUGUUUCUUUUUAUAACUUAAACGCCAACAAUCUCCCUGGCAUAUUUGCAAAUUCAACGUUCUUUGGCUUUUGCAUAAUGCAUUUUUUUUUCUCUCGAUCUCAAGUCACAGUUAGCACUGAUAGCCGUCUCUGUAAAAUUUUAAUAUAUGAUUCAUCACAGCCAUUUUUUGAAGGAGAUUUCUCUAAUUCUUCUACCAGAUGCAUCUUGUAUAUAUUUUGGCAUAAUGAGACACAGGCGGUAUUUAUAUUUUGAGAUACUGAAACCCCAUCUGAUAAUUUCAACUCGGUCUUUUCAUUCACAUUUUUUUUCGAAUAUAUGACUUCCAGUGCUAACUUCAUUAUUUGGAUUUAAAGAGAUUGAUGAUGCACAUAAAUUUUUGCUUAUCUUGCAGAAUGAAGACAGCUUGACGCCACUUUAAAUGGCGUGUCUAAAUGUCAUGGAAACACGGGAGUUGUGGUUUUACAAGGUCGUGAGCCUUCUCUGCCAAACUACAACUCCUAUUCCAACAAAAGAAAAUGACAAGCAGUUUUCUCUCACAAUUGUGUGUCUCUAUGGCAAGGACAUCCUCUUGCAUCUGCCCUCCAAGGUUUCGUGAGCAAGCAUGCAAAUGACCUGACCGGAGGCUGCUUGGUUUAAAUAUAGGCAGUGCCAGGAGGGCAUCCGGCGUGGCACAUGGAGAAGAGACAAACACAGAGAUGGAAACACCCCUCGAAAACACCGCGAGUUUGCUUCUGAAUUCUUCUGGAGUGGCCACAUGCUCAUAUGCUCAAUGCUUCUUGGCUUGAUGACAAUUAGGGGAGACAAUGUCAGCCAAUUUGUCAUCAGGUGGAUUGCAGGCCUCUCUAAUGCUAUAUAUUCAACGUUCUCAUAGGUGCAAUCUGCACUGAUUCUGGUAGAAUAGAAUCCCACUUACACGACUUCCGCUAAUUAUAAUAUUAUAAUGGAAUACAAUAUUAUACUACUAAUAAUGCAAUAUAAUUAUAUUAAUUAUAUAUUAUAUAUUAAAUGUAAUAUUACUAAUAAUAUUACCAUAUAAUGAUAUAGUACAAUAUAGUAAUUUAAUGCUUAUAUUGUGCUAUGCUAAUAAUAUAUUGUAUGUUCAUUUGAUUUGUAAGCCGCUCUGAGUCCCCUUUGGGGUGAGAAGAGAGGGAUAUAAAUGUAGUAAAUAUUACUAUUUACUAUAAAAUUAUUACUAAUAAUAUUACCAUAUAAUGAUAUAGUACAAUAUAGUAAUUUAAUGCUUAUAUUGUGCUAUGCUAAUAAUAUAUUGUAUGUUCAUUUGAUUUGUAACCUGCUCUGAGUUCUCACCGCGGGGUAAGAAGAGCGGGAUAUAAAUGUAGUAAAUAUUACUAUUUACUAUAAAAUUAUUACUAAUAAUAUUACCAUAUAAUGAUAUAGUACAAUAUAGUAAUUUAAUGUUCAUAUUGCGUUAUGCUAAUAAUAUAUUGUAUGUUCAUUUGAUUUGUAAGCCGCUCUGAGUCCUCUUCGGGGUAAGAAGAGCAGGAUAUAAAUGUAGUAAAUAAAUAUUACUAAUAAUAUUACCAUAUAA